rnacentral:rRNA from 1 species
CACGUAGGCGGGUAUUUAAGUCAGGGGUGAAAUCCCGGAGCUCAACUCCGGAACUGCCUUUGAUACUGGGUACCUAGAGUAUGGAAGAGGUAAGUGGAAUUCCGAGUGUAGAGGUGAAAUUCGUAGAUAUUCGGAGGAACACCAGUGGCGAAGGCGGCUUACUGGUCCAUUACUGACGCUGAGGUGCGAAAGCGCGGGGAGCAAACA